GAUGAAGAACGCAGCGAAAUGCGAUACGUAAUGUGAAUUGCAAAUUCAGUGAAUCAUCGAGUCUUUGAACGCACAUUGCGCUCCCUGGUAUUCCGGGGGGCAUGCCUGUCCGAGCGUCAUUGCUGCCCUCAAGCACGGCUUGUGUGUUGGGCCCCGUCCUCCGAUCCCGGGGGACGGGCCCGAAAGGCAGCGGCGGCACCGCGUCCGGUCCUCGAGCGUAUGGGGCUUUGUCACCCGCUCUGUAGGCCCGGACGGCGCUUGCCGAUCAACCCAAAUUUUUAUCCAGGUUGACCUCGGAUCAGGUAGGGAUACCCGCUGAACUUAAGCAUAUCAAUAAGCGGAGGA
rnacentral:misc_RNA from 1 species